UAUUUUGUUUAAGCUGAAUAAUUUUCAAAAAUUUUGCUUUUAAUGGUAUACUUUUAUUAGUAUGUUCUGGACAUAACUUUAAAUGUGGAAAGUAACUAUUUGCCUUCUCAGGAUGAUGACUGUGAAAACGUCACUGACCAGGUACAGGAGACUGAUGUUCAGCCUUCCUGUCCUGUUUGUGGUGGUCAKUAUCCUGCAGAUGAUUUAAUCUUACAUGCCAGUACAUGUGGAGAUCAGUCUUCAGCUUCAAACUGCCCAUGUCUACAAUCUGGCAAUAUGUUUUAGUUUCUUUACAAUACAUUGUAUAGGGUUACGGUUUCUGCUGUUCAUGAAAUGUUACUUCCAAACUAAACUUCAUUCAUUUUUAUACUGAUCUCUUUAAAUAUAUAUUUUUAUUUUUUCUCACCCUUA